UACGUAGGGGGCGAGCGUUGUCCGGAAUUAUUGGGCGUAAAGAGCUCGUAGGCGGUUCGGCAAGUCACGUGUGAAAUCUCCACGCUCAACGUGGAGGCGCCACGUGAGACUGCUGUGACUCGAGUCCGGUAGGGGAGCGUGGAAUUCCCGGUGUAGCGGUGAAAUGCGCAGAUAUCAGGAGGAACACCGGUGGCGAAGGCGGAUCUCUGGGCCUUACCUGACGCUGAGGCGCGAAAGCUAGGGGAGCGAACAGG
rnacentral:rRNA from 1 species